AUAAUAAGUACUCGCGAAAAAUAAGGAAUCUACAAUAUUUUAAAUUUCAGUGGGAACACUUCUUUGUAGUUAUUAAAAAAAGGAUUCAAUGAUUGCUUAAUUCAUGACAGUCAAAAAGUUUUUAUUUAUUAAUAGUCCAAAAGGGUUGAAACGGGAAGGGGGAGUUUGUGUAUAAUCAGUAUUUUUUGCAGAUUUUUUUCUUUUAUUUUAAAAAGGAAGGAAGGGGGGGGGGGGUGUUAUAUAAUGCAAACUGACUGUAAAUUAACUUUGGAGAGAUGUUACAUGUAAAGGUGAAGUUUGUUGAAAUAAAUGUUUGGCAUAUGUAUAUGACAUAAAUAAUUAAACUCAAUUUUUUCUUAUUUUUUGUUGUUGGGUUUUUUUUUUUUUGUUGAAAGCACUAUACACAAAGUGCUGCGUGAGGGUCUAGCUGUGUUGAGACUGAUUUUUCAAUGUUAUAUGUUCAUAGAUGCUUAUGUCAAGUAUGUUUAAAACAUUACUUUACACUUUUGGAAUUAUAUAAAGCUACUUCUUAAGUAAUAUUAAUGGAUAUGUUCAUAUAGAAGAUUUUCUUAUACAGCAUAACACAGUUAUGGUAAAAACACUUAUAACAAAUUGAUGCUUGCAAUGAGUUUUCAUUUCCCAUGACCUUUAAAGUAUUGUGAACUUAAUGGAUAUAAUGAAUUAUAUUAAUUUAUAAUGAAUCAGAAUCAUCCAUCUGGCAC